UUCUAAGGUCUUUUUUUUUUGGGGUGGGGAGGCAGGUCUAUUCACUGGCUUGAGACUCACCAUGUGAGCUAGGCUGGACAGCCAGAGUAAGCCCUGGGGAUCUGUUUCUACCUUAGACACUUGGAUUAUAAGAGUGUUCCACCAUAGCCAGCACUUUUUUAAAAAACACUUUUAUUUUUAGUUAAUGUGGAUGUAUGUGUAAAGAAUCUGUGUGUGAACCACGUGUGUGCAGGUGCCAUGGCACUCAGAAGAGGGCAGAUGCCCUGAACCUGGGAGUUACGUGUGGUUAUGAACUGCUUGGCCUAUUGCAGUGGUCUGAGCCAUGGUGAAGUCUCUGACCCAGGAAGUGCUAUUAGGCAAAGAGGACCAGCAGGGAUGUCCCAGAUUUGGGGGUACAGAGGACUGUGAAAGGUGAUCCCUGGAAGUUCCUGUAAUAGGAAGGAGAGACAAGAAACUUGCCUGAAAAUGAGCCAGAGCUGGAGCAGAUGGUACAUCAAGGGAGCUGUAUGGAUGACAGCUGCAGGGGCUGCCAGCAACUCCAACUGAGAGAAGAAGGAGCUGCUGGCUGCCUAGAACGCAGACUCAAGAGCGGCUGUCAGGGGACAGCUCUGUACUGCUUAGCCCCUUCAUGCUUCUCCUCCACGUGGCCCUCCUCACACCUGUCCCAGUGCUGAUGGCUCCAGAUCUUUGCCCUCCUGCCCUUAACCCUGAGAUCAAGGAGACCCCGCACACUCUGAAGACGGUCCAAAGCUCACAACCAUUUUCAUAAUAAUGUUCACCACCGAGUCGGCUAGAGGAUAAGGCCAAGUCCUUCUUGGGACUUUUUUCUCUGUCAUCUUUAAAGAGUUAAGUCUCCCAGGCCUUGAUCUUCAGGUCAGAAGCUAAGAUGAGAUCGGCUGUCUAUAGAGGUCCUGCAGAUGCUUACGGCAGAUGACACGCAAUUAUAACCGGAAUAUUGUAAUCCAGUGAGAAAUAUGGAUUGGGUCUUUGGCUCCUGGUCCCAGCACAGGGCUCCUGAGGCUGUUGUCAUUUCCUAUGCAACCUCAGGGCUGGGAGCAUCUUUUGUUCUGGUAUUAGGUCUCCACUUCCAGCUCUGGACACAGGGCUCUAUAGUCCUCUCGAGCUCCCUGGAUGACAGAAGAGCCUCUUGCUCUAGGGAGUAGCUUUUGGUGAGCUUCUGCAUAGUUUCAGUACAAGUUGGUUACCAGUGGGACAGAGCAAUGUUUGGAAGCUUGGGUUUUUCCAGAAAAGGGAGAGGCUAGAAAAGGAAUUAGUGAUCCAUCUUGUCAGUGUAGUGCAAAAACAUCCCUGGGUGGUAGGUAGGACUGAGCAAUACAUAGAGAUGCCAAGAAGGUGUGUGCAUGAGGGCUCCAUGCCCUCCUCCUUCACUGUUCCCUGUGUGUCCCUUCCAUCAGCUUCUUCAUCUAUAGCUUUUGAAACAUGUCUGUACUAUAGCAGUAAGCACAGGUGAAGUGAGCCCCCUUUCCCCGUGAGCUACUCUAGCAAAUUAACUGAACUCAAAGAGAGUUACAUGAUGACUUCAAGUAAAGCCAGUGGACCAGAAGCACAGGGCAUAGCCAGGGGCUUGCUACUGGAAUCUGAGUCUGGGGCGGACAGCCUUUCGAGACUGAGCCUUUAACUUUAAAGAGCCAGCACUAUUUCUAGAGAGAUGUGUCAGAAGUGGGCUGAGUUAGACAUUCACUUGACAUUGUGGUUGGAAUGUGAAUUUCCCCCAUUUCUAGACUUGAGUGCUGAAUUCUUAGUCCCAUUGGGGUAAUGCUGUUUUGGUAAGUUGUGGAAACUUUAGGAGGUGAGACCUACCUGGAGGAAGUGAGUUACUGAGAGUAUGCCUCUGAAGGGUGUAGACCCUUUCUUCCCUCUCUUCUGUUUGCCCCCAUAAGAUGAGAUGUCACUCCCCAUAUGCUUCCACUGCUGUGAUGUUCUGCCCGGAAUACAUGGAACCAAGCAACGAGGGACUGGGAGCCAAGAUGAAUCUUCUAAUAUGUUGUUUCUGUCCAACAUUUGCAUACAAAGGUACAAAAGCUAUAAAGUUGGCAUCC